UCAUGGGAUAGGUGGAAAACAAUGUAUACCCAAUGAGAGCUAGCUCCUCGUCCUGCUCCUCAUGCAUCACCUGUCUCCGGGCGGAAGCCUAUCCCUUUGGAAGGCUGGCUGGGGCAAGAACGGCUGUUUCCCCCACCCCCUUUCUACCUGUCGAGUGACUGACAAGUUGCCCUCCAAGCCCCACCCAUGGCUCGUCUCUGCGCACGCGCGAGAUCCAAUCACCGGCUCGCUCUCCCUCUCGCGCAUGCGCUCCUCUUUCUCACCGUGGGAGGGGCUAGCCAGUGGGGCGCCUGCGUAGUUGAGGAGGCGGCGGGAACGUUUCGCCUCGGGAAGGCGGUUGGGCGAGAAUUAGGAGCCUCUUCUGUGGCCUUUGAGGAGCUGACCCGGUAUUGACCCCUAAUAGAGCUUGGGAUCUUCUGGAUCGAGGCUUGAGAUCUCUGCACGAGGACCUCCUGCUGGAGAUUUCUGGCAACAACGUCUCUCCAGGUUUCUGCCACCUCUACUGCUGGAAAAAGGCUCCUUCCCAUUUCCAGGCCUCCAGAGAAGACCCCCCGGUGACACGUGUGGCAUGACGAUGAACAGGAGAAUUGCCAAGCAACAUCCAGAAAAACCUGGGCAGGAACUCGCAAUCAAGCAAGAAAACAGAGAACUGAAAAUAGGAAUGGGCAGGCAUGGACUUUACAUGAAAGGACUGAUGCAGGAGAGAAACCACGUAAAUGCAUGUCACCUCAGUAGACAUCAAAGAACACAUGCAGGGGAGAAAAUGUAUCCAUGUAUGGAAUGUGGAAAGAGCUUUAGUCAGAGUGGUACCCUUAGGUUACAUCAAAGGACCCACACUG